rnacentral:rRNA from 1 species
CGGACGGGUGAGUAAUGUCUGGGAAACUGCCCGAUGGAGGGGGAUAACUACUGGAAACGGUAGCUAAUACCGCAUAACGUCGCAAGGCCAAAGAGGGGGACCUUAGGGCCUCUUGCCAUCGGAUGUGCCCAGAUGGGAUUAGCUAGUAGGUGGGGUAACGGCUCACCUAGGCGACGAUCCCUAGCUGGUCUGAGAGGAUGACCAGCCACACUGGAACUGAGACACGGUCCAG